rnacentral:rRNA from 1 species
UACGUAGGGUGCGAGCGUUAAUCGGAAUUACUGGGCGUAAAGCGUGCGCAGGCGGUUCGUUGUGUCUGUUGUGAAAGCCCCGGGCUCAACCUGGGAAUGGCAUUGGAAACUGGCGAGCUAGAGUGUGGCAGAGGGGGGUGGAAUUCCGCGUGUAGCAGUGAAAUGCGUAGAGAUGCGGAGGAACACCGAUGGCGAAGGCAGCCCCCUGGGCUGACACUGACGCUCAGGCACGAAAGCGUGGGGAGCAAACAGG